GCAGCCGGGAGCGGCCCGCCUGCCUCCCCGCGCGCCCGCGGCCUCCCCCGCUGCCUCCCUGAGGGUUCCCCUCCGGCCGCCAGCGCCCAUCUUUCAUCCCUGGGAGAUAUUUUGCGCACAUACACACAUACACACACGCGCAAAAAGGAAAAAAAAAAAUCCCACCCUCCAGCCUCGUUGCAAAGAGAAAGCCGGAGCAGCCGCAGCUCGCAACCCGCAGAGGACGCCCAGAGCUGCAAGCCGGCGGGCGGACCGACCCACCGACUCGCGCCGCGUCCACCUGUCGGCCCGGCCCGGCAGAGCGCGCAGCGGGAACGCCGCGCGCGCGGAGCAGCCGUGCCCGCCGCCCGGGCCCCGCGCCAGGGCGCACACGCUCCCGCCCCCCCCACCCGGCCCGGGCGGGAGUUUGCACCUCUCCCUGCCCCGGUGCUCGAGCCGCCGCAGCAGAGCCAACUUUGGAAAAAGUUUUUUUUGGAAGACUCGCGCUUUGAGGUGCCCAGCCCUGCGCUUUCUGAUUUGGGGGACCUUUCCAGAAAAUGUUGCAGAAAAACUAAGCCAGCGGGCAGAGGAAAACGCCUUUAGCCGGCGAGGGAAGACGAGCCACCGACUGCCGCGUUCCUUUUCCUCUCGGAGGUUGGAGUCCCCUGCGCGCCCCCACACGGCUAGACGCCUUGGCUGGUUCGCGACGCAGCCCCCUGGCCGUGGAUGCUCGCGCGGGCUCGGGAUCCGCCCAGGUAGCGGCCUCGGACCCUGGUCCCGUGCCCAGGUCCUCCCCAGCCCCCCAGCGACGGAGCCGGGGCCGGGGGCGGCGGCGCCCGGGGGCCAUGCGGGUGAGCCGCG
rnacentral:lncRNA from 1 species